GAAAGGUAUGCUAAUACGGGAUAAUAUAUUGAGAGGCAUCUCUUGAAUAUCAAAGGUGAGCCAGUACAGGAUGGACCCGCGUCUGAUCAGCUAGUUGGUAAGGUAACGGCUUACCAAGGCGACGAUCAGUAGCCGACCUGAGAGGGUGAUCGGCCACAUUGGAACUGAGACACGGUCCAAACUCCUACGGGAGGCAGCAGUGGGGAAUAUUGCACAAUGGGCGAAAGCCUGAUGCAGCAACGCCGCGUGAGUGAUGAAGGCCUUCGGGUCGUAAAACUCUGUCCUCAAGGAAGAUAAUGACGGUACUUGAGGAGGAAGCCCCGGCUAACUACGUGCCAGCAGCCGCGGUAAUACGUAGGGGGCUAGCGUUAUCCGGAUUUACUGGGCGUAAAGGGUGCGUAGGCGGUCUUUCAAGUCAGGAGUGAAAGGCUACGGCUCAACCGUAGUAAGCUCUUGAAACUGGGAGACUUGAGUGCAGGAGAGGAGAGUGGAAUUCCUAGUGUAGCGGUGAAAUGCGUAGAUAUUAGGAGGAACACCAGUUGCGAAGGCGGCUCUCUGGACUGUAACUGACGCUGAGGCACGAAAGCGUGGGGAGCAAACAGGAUUAGAUACCCUGGUAGUCC
rnacentral:rRNA from 1 species